AGAGUUUGAUCCUGGCUCAGGAUGAACGCUAGCGGCAGGCCUAACACAUGCAAGUCGAGGGAGAAGCCUUUCGGGGCAGAAACCGGCGCACGGGUGCGUAACGCGUAUGCAACCUACCUUUCACAGGGGGAUAGCCCGAAGAAAUUUGGAUUAAUACCCCAUAAUAUUAUUGGAUGGCAUCAUUUGAUAAUUAAAAUUACGAUGGUGAAAGAUGGGCAUGCGUCCUAUUAGCUAGUUGGAGUGGUAACGGCACCCCAAGGCUACGAUAGGUAGGGGUCCUGAGAGGGAGAUCCCCCACACUGGUACUGAGACAGGGACCAGACUCCUACGGGAGGCAGCAGUGAGGAAUAUUGGUCAAUGGUCGGAAGACUGAACCAGCCAUGCCGCGUGCAGGAAGAAUGCCUUAUGGGUUGUAAACUGCUUUUAUAUGGGAAGAAUAAGAAGUACGUGUACUUUGAUGACGGUACCAUAUGAAUAAGCAUCGGCUAACUCCGUGCCAGCAGCCGCGGUAAUACGGAGGAUGCGAGCGUUAUUCGGAAUCAUUGGGUUUAAAGGGUCUGUAGGCGGGCUAUUAAGUCAGGGGUGAAAGGUUUCAGCUUAACUGAGAAAUUGCCUUUGAUACUGGUAGUCUUGAAUAUCUGUGAAGUUCUUGGAAUGUGUAGUGUAGCGGUGAAAUGCUUAGAUAUUACACAGAACACCGAUUGCGGAGGCAGGGGACUAACAGACGAUUGACGCUGAGAGACGAAAGCGUGGGGAGCGAACAGGAUUAGAUACCCUGGUAGUCCACGCU
rnacentral:rRNA from 1 species